rnacentral:rRNA from 1 species
AGCAGCCGCGGUAAUUCCAGCUCCAAUAGCGUAUAUUAAAGUUGUUGCAGUUAAAAAGCUCGUAGUUGAAUUUCGGGAUUUGUCAGUUGGUCGGGCUUCACUGUCCGUACUGACUUGAUGGAUUCUUACCUUCUGAAUAACCAGCAUGCUAUUAAGUUAGUGCGUUGGGGAAGCAGAUCUAUUACCUUGAAAAAAUUAGAGUGCUUAAAGCGGGCUAGUGCUUGAAUAGAUUAGCAUGGAAUAAUAAAAUAGGACGGCAUGGUUCUAUUUUGUUGGUUUCUAGGAUCACCGUAAUGAUUAAUAGGGAUAGUUGGGGGCAUUAGUAUUCAAUUGUCAGAGGUGAAAUUCUUGGAUUUAUUGAAGACUAACUUCUGCGAAAGCAUUUGCCAAGGAUGUUUUCAUUAACCAAGAACGAAAGUUAGGGGAUCGAAGACGAUCAGAUACCGUCGUAGUCUCAACCAUAAACUAUGCCGACUAGGAAACAGACGACGUUAAUUUUUUAAUGACUCG